rnacentral:lncRNA from 1 species
CUCAUUGCUUGAUUAACUUCUAGUUGAGCCACUGUAGUCACUUGGACUAUUUUAACGAUGUCUUUACUAACUUUUCUGGGCCAGCAGGAUGAAAUUACCAAGAAGCCUAUGAAGGAGUGAGGCGGCUCUCAAAUUUCAUCAAAAAUAUCUUAAUUUGUGUUCAGAAGAUGAACGAAAAUGACGGGGUUGUAACAACAUGAGCGUAAGUAAUUACUGAUAGAAUUUUCAUUUUUUGCAUAAACUAACCCUUUAAACAUUACAUUUAAUGAUAACUUGUGACUGGCAAAAAUGUCAUUUCUAAUUAUCAUCUUCUUUAAUACAGAAAAGAGAGAGUGUGAAACCAUCAGCUGUUUGCUGAUUUAUUUACUGUAGUCUGCUAAAAAAGACCUGUCCAGUGUAUACCAACAUGAAAAAAAAAAAGAAAUAAUUCUUGGACUGAAAGAAACUCCUGCGUCCAUUUGGGCUGAAGGUCAAGACAGAACCAAACCAAAGCUGGACUGUAACCUACUGGCCUAUAUGACAGACUUCAUACUGACAGCUACUGGCAUGGAUGCUGCAUCACAUGUUUUUGAACAAAAAAAUUUCCCUUUGAAUUUCAAGUGUGGAGUAUUCAUCCCCCAUGAGGAGACUCUAUGUCUUCAUCUCUUGUGAGUGGAUAUCAUUUUAAACAUUAUUUUACAGAACUGCUCAUUUCUUCUGAAUUUAUUUUGUAGUAUGUAAGAAUUUUCCAUUUAAAAGAAAAAUAAACUUUUAGUUGUGUUUUUAAGUAAUGAAGUAAUUCAUUGU